rnacentral:rRNA from 1 species
UACGGAGGGUGCGAGCGUUGUCCGGAAUCACUGGGCGUAAAGAGCUCGUAGGUGGUUUGUCGCGUUGUUCGUGAAAACUCACAGCUUAACUGUGGGCGUGCGGGCGAUACGGGGCAGACUGGAGUACUGCAGGGGGAGACUGGAAUUCCUGGUGUAGCGGUGGAAUGCGCAGAUAUCAGGAGGAACACCGGUGGCGAAGGCGGGGUCUCUGGGCAGUAACUGACGCUGAGGAGCGAAAAGCGUGGGGGAGCGA